CAAGGAUUCAGAAAAGAAAACAAUCAUGUUCAGUCUAUCCAAGAUCUCUGAGCUGUCUAGGCUCUAUGACCUGACCCUGAAGGACUUGUUAGGGGUGUGUUCCCUGUCAUAGUAAUCUUCAUCUGGUGAUGGAUAGAGAUCGAGACAGUG